rnacentral:lncRNA from 1 species
CUGAUAAUGUAACAUAAAGGUUUCCAUCUGUACCCCCAUGAACUUUGCUUUUACCUCAAAAUCUCCUACUUCUUCUGUUGGACUGAUUUCAAAUAUUACAUUUUUAAAUUGGUUAACUUGUAGGUCCUCAAUCUCUAAAAGCACUCCCUUCUCAUGAAGUCGAGCUGCAGUGUAUUUUAGAGAAAUCUUUUUACUAUUUUUGCCUUUCAUCUCUCGAGGCUUCUUAGAGACUUUGCCCUUGCUGGCCAGGUUAUCCAAGCAGGUUUUGAUGUAGCUUUUGUAAUAAUCAACUUGUUCCCCAUAAAAGGUAGCUUUGGAGUUCAAGGCACUGUAUGUCUGCUGCAGCUUCACCAGCUCUGCCUUUCUUCUCUGACGGUAUCUACGCUGAUUCCGGAUAUCCUUUGCAAUGUCAUUGAUUAGUUCCUGGUAUUUAUUUUUUGCAUUCACUAUCCCUAAUUCUGUCAGCUUCUUCAGGCCUGUCUUGAUUUUCUCUUUUUUACCCUGAAGAUUUAAGUUGCCAUCUUCCUUUACAGACACAGAUUUUUUCAUCUUAUCAGGAGUUUUAGCAUCACGAAUGGCCCGUUUCUGCAUAGCUCUUUGAUGCUCUGCUUCUUGCUCUGAAGUAGCUGGAGUGUCCAAGAUUUCGGUCAGCGUCUCCCCAGGUUGGAAGCGGAUCACAUCAACAAUUAAACGUUUUGUGUUCAGCAGAAUUGUCCUAGCAUCCAUCUCUGCAUUUUCAUCACCAGGAACAUCAAAUUUAUUAGUGAGCGUGAGAGAAACCUCCGUCUUUGCUAGCAUCUCCCUGUUCGGGUCAUUAAUGCUGCCAGACCCUUCCCCUAUUAAGGACUCAAUUGAAGGAACUUCUCCAAGAUCAUCCAGCAAUUCAUGAAUUGGAUCAUUAUGCUCAGGAGCAAUUGCAUCUUGAUGGUCUAAGAGCAGAGUGUGCGUAUUGAUGAUUUCACCAAUAGAAAUAUAAAUAACUGGUUUAGUGAGAGUCACCAAGUCAGAAUAUUCAUCAAUAUUGAAUUUAUCCUGCAAUUCAGGAACCUCACAAGCAACCUGAAAAAAGCGUCUGAAUUUCUGGUAUGACUGUGACAAGUAUUCAUUAAUGAUGCUUAGAUGUGCAUUGUCUCCCAUGAACAUCUUAUUGGACGCAGCAUGCUGCAGCAUCUUUGCAAUAGAACCAAGGUUUCUUCGUUGAUCUGUGGUCAGCUGACCGCCAGCUGAAAGAUCAAUUAUGUCAAAUGCAUCCGGUGCAACAAUGGCUGGAUUCAUGUAGCGAUAAUAGAGUAAGUUGCCAACAAUCUUCAGAAGUUCAUCCUCGCCAGCAUCAGGAAACUUGUCAUGCAGGGAGUCUUUCAGUACCUUGGCGAUGAAACGCAUUCCGUAAGGGAUUUUGUCGACUGAACUAACAAUGGCAGACAGGAACUUGUCUGUCACUGUCUUCAUAUUUCUGAUUGAGGCAUCCAGGCGUGUCCUCACCUCUUCGUGAUUUAGAGCUUGUUCAGGUGUAACAUCAUACGGCAAUUUGCUGGCCUCACCAGUCUGAGAUUCCAUCUGGUUAACCCAGGACUUGUAAAUAUCCACUGGAUCAGUUUUGAUAUUGAGUGAUUUGUCGUCAAUUAUUUCCUUCACAACUGGUGCCAAGAUCUGCCUCAGGGCAUUCUGACCACGGGCUCCACGGUUGAAACUUACAACCAUUUUAAUGACAGUAGGAUUCCCAGUCACAAUUUCAUGGAUUUGGUCUACUUUUGAUUUGAUCUCCUCCUGCAACGCUGUUUGGAAAAGCCGCAAUAGCAGAUAUUCCUCUCUUUGAUUGGAUGCAUAGUUAUACAGCGUGAAGAUGACCGAAUCCAUGAACUUUGUGGAUUUGUUUUGAGGCAUCUGAAAAAUCAGCUUGGCCAAGUAUGUUGGGUUAGUCUGAAGUAAGUAGAAAAGAUGCUGAUAGGCUUCCAGCUUUUCCCUCUUCUCUUUGCUCAAAGCUUUCAAACCUCCCUUUUGCUUGUUCAGCAUCAUCAUGUCAGAAAGCUGUUCCUUGUUCUUCUUUGUAAGUUUUUUGCUAUGAGAAACGACAUCCUGCAGUGUAAUUUUGUUUUUCACUAGCAGUCCAAUCUUGAUGUCCAUGAGAUUAAGGUCAUUUUCAAGCUGUUGAUUAGAUCGGAUCAAGGUUACAACUUCCUCCCGCAGUUUCAUUAGCUCAAGCUCCUCCUGAAAGUCUUGGUCACUCUGAUCGAGCAAGUGGACAAAUUUCCGAACCACAGCCAUAGGUGGGUUUUCAGCAUUAAUGAGGGUUUUGUAGUCUUCUCGUGCUUUGUUUGCUCGGAUAAAAGCUUGAAUUUUUAUAACGUCAUUUAUGUGGUCUCUGAAAUACUGCAGGCGAUCUCUGUAACGCCUUCUGGCUUGAUACAUCCUGGUCAUCGACUGAAUCUUCACUACUUGGUCCUUGUGUGCUCGUAGGUAAUCCAAACGGAUUUGAUAUGCCUUCCUCUGUUUAUAGCCACGCCACUGGGACUGGAUGCAUGUGAUGGCUGGAACUUGUUUCUUCAAAAAACUCAUUCUGGAGUUGAAUUCCUGACGAACAAGAUAGCCUCGACAACGAGCCUGAAGCUUCACAAUCAGGUUCUCAUUGGCCAGCCACAACUGCUCUCUGUUGUACGCUGCCGUGACUCCAGAUAUAGUGCUCUGUAUCUCCUCCCGUGACAGCUGUGUGUCAUUUUGCACAAAUUCAGUUGGUUCAUCCCAUCCUCCCUCUUUGGUCCUCAGGUUAUGAUAAUAAUGAUAGCCUCCUCUCACCCAGUGUUUCACCCAUUCACUGCCAUUGCCUCCUGUUGCCAUUUUUCUUCUUUUGACUUCUACCAACUCUCGCUGGUACGUCUCUGCACAUUCUGGAGUGACUCCAUACAGCCCCACAUCUGGUGAGCGCAAGGCACUCAGGGUACAGCCAGUAUCUCCGUGGUCUACUGCUUCGUUAAUGGCCAGAAUUCCUAAAGAAAAUCUCUGUGACUCUUCAGUGUCCUUGUUAGCCCUCUGAAUCCCAUCCUGAAUUUCAUCAAGCCAAAGCACAGCUGUUUCAUCCUGAGUAUCCUGUGCUUUCUCUCUUUUAGCCCGAAGUAGUGUGUCCUGAUAAUGCUGAGCUACCUUUGGGGUUACACCCUCCAGUUUUGCUGCAGGAAUCUGUAAGGCUUGCAGAGUUUUUUUGGUGUCUCCUUCAUCCAGUGCCUCGUUGAUAAGCCCAAUUGCCAAAAUCCUUUCAUGUUCUUCAUGCACAGCUAAGUUCACACGAUCCACACAUGACUGGAUAUCAUUCCAUGUGAUAAAUUCAUUUUCUUCUGCAUGCAUUUGAGCUUUCAGCUUCAUCAGAUCAUCAAUAUAUCUCUGAGAGUUCUCAUCCUCAACGUUUGUCAGCCCUGUGACAGGAUUGCUCAGUUGUUUCCAUACUGUACUCACAUCCCCUGAAUCCAAAGCCCUAUUAAUCACAGCCACAGAAGAGAGCAUCUCUACAGCAACAGACAAUUCUGCAUGGGUGAGGUUACCAUCAUGGCUUUGUUGUUGCAAGGUGGCCAGCUCUUUUUGAUAAAGAUUGGCAGCAAAUGCAUAAACCUCUGGUAGCUGGGCCUCUGGAUUCAUCAUUUCUGCCACAGUCUUCUCAGCAUCACCCAUUCUAA